AUUGAACGCUGGCGGCAUGCCUUACACAUGCAAGUCGAACGGCAGCACGGGUGCUUGCACCUGGUGGUGAGUGGCGAACGGGUGAGUAAUACAUCGGAACGUACCUUAUCGUGGGGGAUAACGCAGCGAAAGCUGUGCUAAUACCGCAUACGCCCUGAGGGGGAAAGCGGGGGAUCGCAAGACCUCGCGCGAUUAGAGCGGCCGAUGCCUGAUUAGCUAGUUGGUGGGGUAAAAGCGCACCAAGGCGACGAUCAGUAGCUGGUCUGAGAGGACGAUCAGCCAGACUGGGACUGAGACACGGCCCAGACUCCUACGGGAGGCAGCAGUGGGGAAUUUUGGACAAGGGGGGAAACCCUGAUCCAGCAAUGCCGCGUGAGUGAAGAAGGCCUUCGGGUUGUAAAGCGCUUUUGUCAGGGAAGAAACACCGGCUCUAACACAGUCCGGGAAUGACGGUACCUGAAGAAUAAGCACCGGCUAACUACGUGCCAGCCGCCGCCGUAA
rnacentral:rRNA from 1 species